CAUCUGCAAUCGUAGGGCCUUAUUUUUUUGAAAAUGAACAUGGCCAAACUGUAACUGUAAAUUCA
rnacentral:precursor_RNA from 1 species